GAAAGUUGAGGAAUUGUGUAUCCUCACCAGAUCUCUAAACAAUUCUCCAACACAGCAUCCUAGGCUGUACCUGACCUGAAUUCAGAUGCAAAAGAACUGGUUUUGGCAUAGUGCAGCUCAGGAAUCAGAAACCUUUGAGAAGAACCCCAAAGACAAACUACCCUUGAAGCAAAAGAAACAUCACUUCCUGCUGAAAGUCAAGACAUGGAGCAAACUUGAAGUACACUCUGUCUCAGAAAAGAUUUGAUAAAAUAUAACUCCAAAGUGCUCAGCAGCUCAAAACAACAGGAC
rnacentral:lncRNA from 1 species